GUGCUCUUAGUUCAGUUCGGUAGAACGCGGGUCUCCAAAACCCGAUGUCGUAGGUUCGAAUCCUGCAGAGCGUG
rnacentral:tRNA from 1 species